AUCAUUGUCGAGACCCUAAAGCGAGCGAUUUGAAAACUUGUGACUAUCUUUGCAGCUUAGUAAUGUUGCUACAUGCUCGUCCAUCUAUCGCAUGAGUAUCUUGGUGUAAACAUGUUGUAGGUGGAUGGGAGAUCAAUCCGGCGCAGCUUUGCGCCAAGGUAAAAUGCAUCUAGAGCGGUUACAGCCACAUCCUCGAAGCAUUCUGUUUUGGGUUAUGGCUGUCUGCUCCAAACUAGUUUGAUGGCUCUCGGCAAUGGAUAUCUUGGCUCUCGCAUCGAUGAAGAGCGCAGCGAAAUGCGAUACGUGGUGCGAAUUGCAGAAUCCCGUGAACCAUCGAGUUUUUGAACGCAAGUUGCGCCUGAGGCCAGCUGGCCAAGGGCACGUCCGCUUGGGCGUCAAGCAUUGAGUCGCUCCACAGGUCACUCAUCUCUAUGAGGUGGGCAUCUGGGAUGCGGAGAAUGGCCCGUCAUGCGUUGAGGUGUGGCCGGCUGAAGAGAGGGAUGCUUUUAUCUUGGCAACGGUCGAUUAAUGGUUGGGAUGGAAGCCCCAGUUGAUCCUCUUCAUCUUCACGUUGCUUUGAGAGAGCUGUACAUUUCUAAGUAACCCAAUGCAAUUGUCAAUACAAGAUAGUUGACAUGCGACCCCAGGAUGGGCGGGGU
rnacentral:rRNA from 1 species